GCGCCAGGCCGUUUCACAUCGCUCUGUACGCAGGCGCGAUGUGACCCCGGCCGGGCGCAUGUGCUGAAGAUUGGACGGAGGACGUGCCAGGAGGAUCGAAUGGGCUGUGCGCAGAAUCUUGAGUCGGGAGAGUUGUAGCCGCCGCCCAACGAAGUGAAUAUUGAUGAGCUGGGCGGGGCUGCAGACGGCAGUUGGGAGCGGCU